GGAAUCUUGGACAAUGGGGGAAACCCUGAUCCAGCGACGCCGCGUGACCGAUGAAGCCUUUCGGGGUGUAAAGGUCUUUCAGCGGGGACUAUCCUGAAGGUACCCGCAGACGCAGCUGCGGCUAACUACGUGCCAGCAGCCGCGGUAAUACGUAGGCAGCAAGCGUUGUUCGGAAUUACUGGGCGUAAAGCGAGUGUAGGCGGUCUGCCAAGUCUGUUGUGAAAUCUCCCGGCUCAACUGGGAGGGUGCGACGGAAACUGGCAGGCUUGAGUGCGGGAGAGGAGAGUGGAAUUCCGAGUGUAGAGGUGAAAUUCGUAGAUAUUCGGAGGAACACCAGUGGCGAAGGCGGCUCACUGGCUCGGUACUGACGCUGAGGUGCGAAAGCGUGGGGAGCAAAC
rnacentral:rRNA from 1 species